rnacentral:rRNA from 1 species
AGUGGCGAACGGGUGAGUAACACGUGAGCAACCUGCCUUUACACAGGGAUAACAGCCGGAAACGGCUGCUAAUACCGGAUAAGACCACACUGAGGCAUCUCAGAGGGGCCAAAGCGAUUUAGCGGUAGAAGAUGGGCCUCGCGUCCCAUUAGCUAGUUGGUGAGAUAACAGCCCACCAAGGCGACGAUGGGUAGCCGACUUGAGAGAGUGAUCGGCCACAUUGGAACUGAGACACGGUCCAGACUCCUUCGGGAGGCAGCAGUGGGGAAUAUUGGGCAAUGGAGGAAACUCUUACCCAGACCAAUGCCGCGUGAAUGAAGAAGGCCUUCGGGUUGUAAAGUUCUUUUAUUGAUGAUAAAGAAAGUGAUAUUAGUCGAUGAAUAAGCCCCGGCUAACUAUGUGCCAGCCGCUGC